UGGCAGAUACCCUAAAUCCUUCAUACAUUUUCUAUAGCUGAACAUCUUGUUUUGGGAUAUUUUUUAAAAAUUGUUUUACUUAUCAAUUAUUUUUGUUAAUAUGCUGAUAUAAUGUUUAAUUUUGGUCUAUCUUGGUAUAAUUUUGUAUUAUCAAUAUGGAAAAUGUAUUUAAUUCCAAUGUAAAGUCUUUAUGUUGAUAUUCUAUUCACACUGUCGCUCUGUCCCUUGGGAGUGAUCCUUCGUGACUAAAUCGUUUGUGUUUGAUUCAGAUCAUGUAGAGAUGCAGUUACUCUUGCAGUCAGUCACAAAUAUGCAGAUUUAAAGGAGAUUUUCUUGGUAGCUGUGAACCUACUUUAAUCACAGGAAACAGGAGGCAGAUGAAAUUUACGGUGACAUUCCGUGAACACCAUGAGUAGAAUGGCUUGAAAGGUGUUUACUUUACACAGGGCUUAACAAUAAAUGUAGGACAGGUUCUAUGUCAAUGAGAAAUAUUUGAUAUGCAUUACAUUUCUGUCAUUUGUAAUUUUCUGAGGCCAUUAAAUAUUGAUAACAAUGAACCAGACUGUAAGGAGGGGCCAAGGCAGAUGGUGAUCCAUUUAUCAGGCAUUUUAGUGAGUGUUCACUGUCAGUUGCCCAAAGUGUGAUGCCAUAUUUUCAUUUUUAAUUCGGCCAAACAUCACAUAAUAUAUAUGACUUUUAGGAACCAUAGUACCCAAUGAAAAGGACACAUAUAACAUGACUGUUAAAAAAAAGUACUGUGUUUUGAAAACAUUUGGAGAAAUAAUUCUGGAAGUAAAUUAGGUUUACCUUGCAUGAGUAAUUUAGGGAAAUGGAAGUUUAUGGAAAAGGGUUAAAAUAAGGAGUGAGAGACAAGUGUCAGAGAGAAUGUUUGUUUUGAGUAACCAGGAUAUUCAUGAUUUGACAUGUGCAGAUCAAAAGAACUACUAAGGUUGAGCAAGUUAGAGAUGAGGUGAGAGAAAGGAUUUCAACAGAGUGAACAUUUGACCAGGACAUAAUGGGAAAAGAAUGUUGGAGAAGGACCUGCCACACAGGAGAAAGAGAGGAAGACCUCAGAAAAGAUUCAUGGACAUUGUAAGGAGCUGCACAAAAAAGACAAACUAGAAGAAAUAAUAAUAAUAUAUUAGCAUAUAUAUAUUAGCAUAUAUUAACAAUAACAAUAUUACUAAUAGUAAUAAUAAUGAGAAAAAGAAAGAAAAGUAAAUGUACAAAUGUGCAAAAAAUUGCAUAUCCAAUAUAGAAAUCUCACCGUAUGCUCAAAGUGAGAUGCGUUUAUCAUUGAAUUGUUAAAGUCAUCUGACAACCAGUCGUGUGUUCAUAGUUUAUGUGAGUUCUCAUUUGUUUUCUCUAGGCAUUAGGGCUUUAUAUACAUUGUCGUAAUGUAUUAAUGUGGUUUUUCAUCCUGCAACAUCUGUUGGCCAUCAGGCUGCGAGAAGAAAAGUCCACAUGUGGUAACACUAACUGAAUUACCUAAAGUAAGCUGGGACACUAGAAGUGCAUUGGAGCUGCCCCUCUGUCUGUGUUUUCUCUUUUUGUGCAAAUUGGCAGGACUUUUUUUUUAAUAAAACAGUGAAAUCAGAUUUUCUAGGUGGCAGUAAUUCAACCUAAAGACAACUAAUUGCCCUUAAAAUGGAAAGAACACCACAUAUUAUUUUUGGCACUACUCUUUUUGUGAGCUUUGGGCAUAAUUUUAAAUGAGUUAUUUGAUGCUAGAAUGGGGUUACUUUUUUUUAAAAAGAGGGAAUUAAAAAUAUGUUUUGUCAUAGCCACGCUGGAUUGCUCACAUGUGAUUAUCUGCUGGCAUAUACAUGGCUGUCAUGAAGCACAUUUCGCACAUACCGUACAGUGAGGGUUUGUAAUUGGAGGAUUGCAGUAAAGGGUGCAGCUUAUUGCCCCUGUUUCACACAUGGGUUAGUUCAGAGGUUAAUAUCCCGAAGGAGAUGAAUGAAUUACCGAGAAAAAUAAUGGCCGGUCUGAAAUCUAGGUAAAUGUAUAACCCGCUCUGGUAGAAAAAAUAAAUCUAUGACUAAGACCAUAUUUAUAAUAAAAACAAUGUCCAUUUAGCACCCCCUGCAGGGACAUUUCACACAUGCUACACAAAAUAACAUUUAAAUGUUGCUGUGAAAAAUGUUCUUUUUCUUCUGCAGAAAAUCAUUAGAAGGUUGACACAAUGAUCAUACAGAGGUUUUGUGUCUGCAACCACGCUGUGUUUGCACAUAAGGUUUGCAUGUGUCUGUGUGUGUUUACAAUUUCCCAGCUUGCUAGAUCAUCUCCUAGCAACGGUCGAUCUUAAAAGCUGUACUGUAUAUCCUCAAUUGCAGGUUCUACCCCUGGGGCAAGCAUGGCACAAUGCAAUCAUGCCUGGAGUUCCUAUAGCAACUCUAAUGAACAAGGCAAAGACAACAUGAGGAAAACAGGAGCAGGACAAAGAACCUGGGCAGAACAGACAGUGGAUAUUUAAGAACAUUUACAGACUGUUGCUUCUGGAAUCGCUUUCUUAAAUUGCCAAUGUGCUAGAUGCAAUUUGAAAUUUGUCUUGAUAGGUGCAAUAAAUCUUCCCCAAAUGUAAGUGAAAAUAAGACAGCGUUAGCCAACGCAGUCAUAGGGGACAAAAGGUACAAUUAGUUUAAAAAAUCUAAAUUAAAAACAAAAAUGUAACUAUAAUGAAUAAAAACUGAAGAAGAAACAGUUUAAGAUAUGAGAAGUAAAUAUUAUUAUUUUUACUUAAAAGCCUAAAAUAACAGCACAUGACUCAGAAUGUGCGAAAAUACCAAGAAGACAGAAAAUGACAAAAUGUCACUCUACAAAUAGCUUUAACUGGCCACAAAGGUACAUCUCUCUCAACACUGUUAUGUGUUGGUCUGGUGUUCCUGUUGUCAGUUGAUGGUAUGCAGCGUUACAGGAAUGUGCGCUUUGUACUCUGCAUGCCCCAGCCUGAGCCUAAGCCGAGGAUCCCUGCUAUUUACCUUUUACAUCAGAGGAGGAAGUGUUAGUGACAUGACUUUGAGAUGUAAACAGAUGAGGUGUAUACAUUUUUUAAUCAAUGCAUUUCUGACUUUACAAACUGAUCAUAUUUCAUGAACCUUUUAACAAAUCCUCACUCACUUCAGUUUGCAGUGCUGAUCAAUAUCAUACAGUAAGUAAUCAUAGAAAAAGUUUGGUUAUUGUAUUAAUGUAUGGAUAUUUGCAACAAUGUAAAUAAUUAUUGAACCUUCAGCAAUAUUUUGUCUUUCUUUAAAACUAUGUCUGUGGUGUAGUGUGCCUUAAACCAACUGUACUUUUUAAUCCAGGGUCGUAAAUUUAUUCAAUUGAACAUUACCCAAAGUAUGACUUGAGUACGCCACGAACCUCUUGUACGUGGAAAAUGCUGCCAUCUUGUGUUAGAAAGCAGUAUUUAAUUUUACGAAAAAAAGUUCAAACGUGACUAACUCUCUGGACAUUUGUUACCACUUAACAGUGUUGACGACGACUGUAUCAGUGAUGCAAUUUAUUGUGGUUGAUGAUGGGAAUUUUUUCUUCUGAACACUUCAAAGUAAGAGUUUUCAAAAGUACAUAAAAAAAGAACAUGUACUAUUAAUUCACACCACUUUAGAACUAUAUGAUAAUGUUGUCCUGUGCAGCUAUGCUAUCAGUUGUCCGUAUAAUGCCUAUUUUAUAUGUCAUGAGAGUAAAAAAAAACUAUUUUAUAUCACAAUUUCUCAGUAGAUGUGAUGUAAAUUAAAAGGAUGCCGAAUGACAAAGGACCAAAGAAAGAAAAAGCGAGUUUUAUGGCACAGGCAGGAUCAGUUCUUACUUUCAUUCAUUCUUUUUCUACCAAUCAGCUACACAACCAAGCUGUCGCAGUACACACGGCAUUGUAGUACUGCACCAAUGAUUCUCUGCACUUGUAUCUGCAUGUCUGCUUCUGUUACCAUAGUAACAGAGGAAGACCAAUGACCCCUUCAUUAUGUGGCCCGUUGUGAGAAAGCUUCAAUUUCUGCAGGCCAUUAUGAAAAGGAGUCCACUUAGAGUGAAUACAAGUCAACAGUCUCCAUACAAAAGAGCUGCAGAAGGCCAACGCUGUCACUAAAUUACAGCCAUUUAAUUGAACUCCUUGUUGACAAGGAACGCAGGGUUUUGUUAUUUUCUAAAGUCCUGUUGGCUCUAGGACCGUCAUGUAAAUGGUCAUGAUGAGGAGAUUGACAGGCAACCAGGGCAACCUACAGCAACACUAUACUUAAUUCUUAAAAAAGGUCAUUGUGCCAUCCUGUGACUGUUGAAGACGGGCACAGCCCCCUUAUUAACCUACACUGUAACAGGUGCAUAAUAACGGUUUUCACUUUGUUGAUGCAAUUCCAGCUGAGCAAACCAGUGUUAGUAAAUUGCUAUACAUAUUGAUCCUAUUUUUUGUUGGAGAAUUGCUCAAUUUUAUAGAAGAAAAAACAACUUUUUAAUGGUUUUUAAAAUGACCAUCGUUUUUUAAAUAUUUACCAUGGUGACUAUUUUUUUUUAAUUGCAAAGGUUAGUCAAAGUUAGCCAAUAGUUGACAUGGUUGAAUCAAAUGUGAGCUGAAAGAAAGCCUAAAACUGUAUCUGCUGGGGAAAAAGAACAGCAAAAAGAAGAAAAAGAAUUCCGCAAGUAUGAGAACAAAAUAAAGAAAUCAAGUGUAAAACUUUUUUCAUGAUCUGUGGCUGUGAAAGCUGCUGCAGUGUGUGGGCUGAACUGUUAAAAAUCACGGCUAUUAUCACAACUUAUGUAAAACACAUUAUCAACAGCAAGGUGGAAUCAUUUUAUUUUUACACACUUCACUUCUUUUAUGAAACCAUUUAAAUGGAGCCUGUUCUCCUGCAGUCUAUUCGUUUAAGCUAUCCAACCAUGGAGUGUUCUUGAUCUGUUAAAGUCACUCGAGUGUUGAAAAUACACUCCAACUAGUUUCCUGCAGCAGCCGAGGUGACAGUUGUUCCACGAUGGUGAGCUACGAUUUGGGUUGAAUGAGAAACUAAUCUGCUGACAAAUACUGUCCACUGUCAAUCCAACAAUUUCGGAGAAUUUUGAUCAAUUCAUUUAAAAAAAAAAAAAGAAAAGAACAUUCUAUUUUUUUAUUCUAACCAGCCCUACUGUUCCGGUCUGCUCGAGUGUUUGACAGUCCCUUACUAUUUCACGCGCCACCUGAGUCAAACUGUGUAUUCUCGUGUCAGGAGUGAAUGAGGACUGAUAAAGUCUCUGCUGUUUCCUCCUCCUCCUCCUCCUCCUUCUCCUCUUCAUCUUUCUCCUCCACAGCAGCAGCUGAGCAGUACAGUCUGAGCAGCAGGACCGCUGUUGCAGCAUGGUAGCGGCGCUCACUUCUUCACAUGCGUCCGACUCCCCCCAGUGGAUCAUAUGCCUGGAUAAAAGACCUGGAGAACGCACCGCAGAAGAUGUCGACAUUAUCUCUGCCCGUCUGAGGAACGUGAAGGCCUUUGAGGGGUUCCGGCCUGGUUUGCUGCGGCAGAUUUGUCUGUGUGGUUUCUACGAGGGCUUAGAGAAAGGCAUCACCUGUAGGUGGCGGUGUGUUUCAGUGGGUAAGAUGUUAAUCUUCCCUCUGCUGUUUUCUUACGGCCUAUUCUGUCAGUGUAUCGACAGGGAGACAUUGGCACCAGCUGGUACGCUGUUCUCUCCGGUUCUCUGGACGUGAAAGUGUCUGCGACGUCCAGUUUUCAGGAUGCUGUUACCAUCUGCACACUGGGGACCGGCACAGCGUUUGGAGAAUCAAUCUUGGACAACACCCCCCGACAUGCCACCAUAGUCACCCGGGAAUUUAGUGAGCUUCUGCGCAUUGAACAGAGGGAGUUCAAGUCUCUGUGGGAGGUAAGGGCGUAUUUAACAACAUCUCCAGUGUUACUGAGAGAUGUAGAAUUUAGUGUCCUUAAAUGGACUAACUCUGGUCUAAUGAGAACAUCCACUCAUACCCAGGGGUAGUUUACACUCAUUAAAGCGUGAGUAAAAUUCACAUUCUAGGAAAUGACUGUAGACUGAAUUUAAGUUAAUGUUGGAUCCUGCUGCAGUGAUUAAAAAAUAAAUUUCAGCAGUAAUGACCUUCCAAAAAUCCACCCAGAGCUUAUUUUCUCGUGCUGCAAAAUAAGUGUAAAUGUUAAAAUAAAUAAUUUUGUAGAUAGUAGGAGAGGGAAUGUAAAUUUGGCCAUCUUUCAGACUAGUUGUCAGUUAAACUAAGCACAAAUCCUAAUCUUUUGUGUCUAAACAGCCAAUAUACCAUAUACGUGCUUCAUAUUCAUAUUUACUGGACAUUUCCAAUGUUGAACACUGGGUGGAAGUACUGAGCUGAAGGGAGGCUGUCACCCUGUGUCUGUCUGUUUCCUUACUUGCUGUGUUACAAUAUUACUAUAAGUUAUAAAGGUUUAUAAUAAGAAUAAAUAAAAGUACAUUUUGUUUCUGGGCCAGCUGUGCUGAACCCACUCCUCUGUCGCUCUGUUCCCUCUGUGUUAUGGGCUGGUUUCCUCAGAGACACAGCCCACUUCCUCUGGGACUGAAGGGCACAAGUGGGUCAUAUCAGGACCUGUGGGUCUGUCCUAGUGCACUGACACACACACACACACUCUCACACACACACAUGUUCUGUUGGGACUGUACUGGACUCGAUGCUGAUCACUGUCUCACUGAUGAUCUGAGCCAAAUUCUUCAACAAGGUUAGUUCCAGUUAUGGAAUAGAAUGACCAGUACUGAUGUGCUUCAGUCUUCACUGAUGGGUCAUACAGUAUUUUUAGGAGUUGCUUAUUACAUCAAUUGCACAUUUAAGAUUUUUCUUAAAGACAGAAACUGAGCUUUCCUUCGGGGUCAAACACAACUUGUUGGAGACCGAACAUAGUUAUAAUGGAACAAAAGAUGAAAAGUUGUCUAAUGAAUCAAACGUCACACAACGUCUCACAGUACCUCAAAACCACCGACAUCCUUUGCCGUGUUAGUGUCUUCAAACAUGCCUGGAGAAAACAGCGAUUUCUUCCCUGCGGUCAUUAUUACUGCUCCUGUUAUAUCACACGUUACGCAGAUGAAAUGUUGCUGUUUACCGUGUGUAUGACAGCCAAGAAAGCCAUGUCAACAGUUACCAACAUUAGCAUUAAUACACCGAUUGAUCAUCUGUCUUAAGAUGUGCUGACGUGGCUUUAAAUCACCAUUCUGCAGAAACUCUGACUGAAGAGCUGUCCAGCCAUAAUUUAAAUAAUCGGCCUGGCGACAGAUAAUCAUUAAACUCACUCGCACUUUGUUAUUCUGACAGCAGUUUCCCUCAUUUCUUUGGGCAGUGGUGGUAAAUUAUUCUUUGCCGUUUUGCUUCAUUGCAGGAACACAGUCUGUACAGUGGUGUAGUAACCAGUGGCAUCAAAACCUCUGACUGUUUGUUGUCAGCUCCGUGUGCUUCGGUGAUUAAUUGCCGCCAACUUUUUCACAUCUCUGCUGCUCCUGCUCGUCACCCUUGCUCUGUGGGUCCCGCUAAUGAGUUCAGCAACUUCACAGACUUCUUUUUUUUUAUUAAGCUCAAUUAUAUUUUUAUGGUUAAAGACAUUAAUCUGCUUGAGGUCAGGAUUGCCGGUACACUAAAACGCCAAGAACAUGUGGGAGGCGCUGGGGGAGGUUCUGUGGGAGAGAAACUGUGAAGGAAUAUUUGUGAAGGAAAUGUUCCAUUUACCCUGCUGUGAUGAAGACUAAGCCACGGGAAACAUGUACACCUCCUCCUCCUCCUCCUCUUCCUCUGUCUUCUCCUCCCACACAGCCCUGUCUUCAACUUUCAGAGUGAACGCAGCAAUGUUCCAGUGAACCACUGGGGACUAUUUUCUUAUUCAUGACCAUUCAUGUCAAUUAUUCAG